rnacentral:rRNA from 1 species
AAGCUCGUAGUUGAAUUUCGGGAUUGGCAUAUCGGUCGUGCCUUCGGGCACGUACUGGUAGUUGUUAAUCUCCACCUUCUAGUGAACUAUUAUGCCUUUCACUAGGUGUAAUAGGGAGCUAGGACUGUUGCUUUGAAAAAAUUGAGUGUUUAAAGCAGGCUUUAAGCUUGAAUAGAUUAGCAUGGAAUAACGAAAUAGGACGGCAUGAUUCUAUUUUGUUGGUUUCUAGGAUCACCGUAAUGAUUAAUAGGGAUAGUUGGG